AGAAUUUAUAAAAAAUCUGCUUCACAUUUUUUUCAUAGUAUUAGCUGAUUCAUCCAUAUCAACUUACCCACAAAACUAGAUUAACCAACAUUUGGAAGUUGCGACGGAUAUUUCGAAAUUAAUGCAAUUUUGAGAAAAAAGUUAUCGCUUUAUCUAGUUAUGAAACAGGAAGAACAUUUGCAUUUUGAAUUGUCCAAUGGAAAGUCGUUUGUUUUAAUUUUCGAUGAGUAUAACAAGAAUAAACAAUAUGAAUUUCAGUGAAGCUCAGUUUAUCGUUAUUAUUUUGAUCUUUGCGAGCUUGUCAAUGGCACAAUCCAACCAACAGAGAAUUCUAACAUUUAACUACAUAUUCAAACAGCUCAAUCAAUUUCUCUGCACAUAUGUCCACCCUGUCCUUAAUCCAAUUUUUCAGAUGUUUGGCAUUGAAUUGUUUUCAGAUCUCGAUCUCAUUUGCAACAUUAAGAAAUCAUGAGGAUUUGUCAUAGCAUUGCUAAUCAUAAAAAAGUGAUUUGAUACCAUAUUCUGAUCAAAUAAAAUAUUACCCAUG